rnacentral:tRNA from 1 species
GGCAGCGUGGCACACUGGGUAAGGAACUGGGCUUGCAACCGAAAGGUCCCAGGUUCGAUUCCCUGCUAGGACA